UGGGGAAUAUUGGACAAUGGGGGGAACCCUGAUCCAGCGACGCCGCGUGAGUGAAGAAGUAUUUCGGUAUGUAAAGCUCUAUCAGCAGGGAAGAAAAUGACGGUACCUGAGUAAGAAGCCCCGGCUAACUACGUGCC
rnacentral:rRNA from 1 species